UCAAGCAACUAAGCGCAUACGGUGGAUGCCUUGGCAGUCAGAGGCGAUGAAAGACGUGGAAGCCUGCGAUAAGGUUCGGGGAGCUGGCAAACGAGCUGUGAUCCGGACAUCUCUGAAUGGGGAAACCCACCGACUUUCGGGUCGGUAUCUUACACUGAAUCCAUAGGUGUAAGAGGCGAACCGGGGGAACUGAAAC
rnacentral:rRNA from 1 species